ACCAGCUCCAGAGGUCUAUGUCACCGGUCUUCUAGGUGUCACUGAACGGGACUCAUUACCACCAACACUGGACUGUCUUGUCUCAUUACACACACCUGGUUCCCAUUCCCCCUGAUUAGAAUGUGUAUAUGUGUGCCCUCUGUUACCAUGGUCUUGUGAGUACCUGUGCUGUCGUAUCGGCUUACAUGCUACGUGUUAUUGGUUUACGGGGUCACGGCCCGUGUUUGAGGUUUACACCGUACACUUUUGUUUGGGUGGAGAAAAUAAAAAAACACUUUCUUAUUCCUGCUCCUGUCUCCGAUCAUUAUACAACGUGACACCAUGGUGCUGUAAAGAAAGCUCUGCUGUUGGGACAGCUUUAUUAUGGAGGAUUUGGACUACUUUGAGCAGUUCCCAGGGAUGAAGAGGAAGCGUUGACUACGCCGGUGCCAGAGAUGGUGAAGCCCAGUCAUUCUUCAACGAGAGCUCGACUUCGAUGUAACGACUGCCAAUGACAGACCCAUUUCUCCUCUCCCAGCCAACCUUCCAUCAGCAGAUGGAACACUGUCCAGUACCACUGUAUCCCUGGGUGAACAAUAACCUCAUGUGCCUUCCACAGCACAAAUCAAUGAAGUGCUAUCCAUACCUGUACCAUCCCAAGUCAACCAACUGACAACUGAACCUUCACCGGAACUGGACUGUGAAAUGGCGAAACUCAACGACCCAGGAGGAGCCCAAAUAUAGAAGUACCCCCACACCUCUGAGCUUGUCUCCAACAUCACUCCACAGCAGCAUGGCUGAACACUUAGAGGCUGAGGAGGAGCAGGACGGAGGAACCUCCACCCUGAAUCAGAGAACCACACAUUGAACCUGAGCCACCUCACACAGAGAUCCAAGCCAACAUGCCUUCGCUGGAAGGUGUUUUAUAUCAGUGUGCAUCCCGCAACACCAGAUGUAGUGGCUCCCAGGCAGAUUGGGAAGAGUUUCCCGGUGUAGUGGCCACCUAUCUUUUGAAGUCACAGACAACACCUCAGAUUCAUCCAUGACUAGGGUUGCACAUUUUGGGGAAUAUUCAGAGGUGGAAACUUUCCUUGGGAAUAUGUGAACUAAUGGAAAUAUGGGAAUUAAUAUUAAUACCAAUUUAAAUAUAGAUGUUUUUUUGCAUUGGGUAUAUUUACCAUAUUUGGAGACAAACAAACAUUUGACCUUAUCAUAAGUAGACAUAAUUGCAAAUUAUCAAAUCCUUCCAAUAGAAAAAUAUAUAUACUUUAGUUAAGAAUUUAACUUUAAUUAAAUUAGCUGACUCCUCACAUGGGAUGAUUUCACUGAACAACAAAAGGGAAUAUCUAAUGAUCCAUCGCAUCUCCCAAAAACGUUCUCAACAUACAUCUGUAAAAUUAUAGUCUAGAAACUAAAGCUUUGGUUGUCUUCCUCUCAGGCUUCCAUGUCUCCUCCCUGGACCUCCUCAAUGUCCACCU